UACGUAGGUGGCAAGCGUUGUCCGGAUUUAUUGGGUUUAAAGGGUGCGUAGGCGGUCUAUUAAGUCAGUUGUGAAAUACGGCAGCUCAACUGUCGAGGUGCAAUUGAUACUGAUGGACUUGAGUACUGAUGAGGUAAGCGGAAUGGACGGUGUAGCGGUGAAAUGCUUAGAUAUCGUCCAGAACACCGGUGGCGAAGGCGGCUCUCUGGACCGUAACUGACGCUGAGGCGCGAAAGCGUGGGGAGCAAACAGG
rnacentral:rRNA from 1 species